UACGGAAGGCAGCAGUGGGGAAUAUUGCACAAUGGGCGAAAGCCUGAUGCAGCUAUGCCGCGUGUAUGAAGAAGGCCUUAGGGUUGUAAAGUACUUUCAUCGGGGAGGAAAAAACAAAACUAAUAAUUUUAUUUCUUGACGUUACCCGAAAAAGAAGCACCGGCUAACUCCGUGCCAGCAGCCGCGGUAAUACGGAGGGUGCUAGCGUUAAUCAGAAUUACUGGGCGUAAAGAGCACGUAGGUGGUUUUUUUAAAGUCAGAUGUGAAAUCCCUGGGCUUAACCUAGGAACUGCAUUUUGAAACUGAAAUACUAGAGUAUCGUAGAGGGAGGUAGAAUUCUAGGUGUAGCGGUGAAAUGCGUAGAUAUCUGGAGGAAUACCUGUGGCGAAAGCGGCCUCCUAAACGAAUACUGACACUGAGGUGCGAAAGCGUGGGGAGCAAACAGGGAUAGAUACC
rnacentral:rRNA from 1 species